CUACGGGUUGCUCCAGUGGGGAAUAUUGGACAAUGGGCGCAAGCCUGAUCCAGCCAUGCCGCGUGAGUGACGAAGGCCUUCGGGUUGUAAAGCUCUUUCAGAUGUGAGGAUAAUGACGGUAACAUCAGAAGAAGCCCCGGCUAACUCCGUGCCAGCAGCCGCGGUAAUACGGAGGGGGCUAGCGUUGUUCGGAAUCACUGGGCGUAAAGCGCGCGUAGGCGGUUUGUUUAGUCAGAGGCGAGAGCCCGGGGCUCAACCCCGGAAUUGCCUUUGAUACUGGCAGGCUAGAGUUUGGUAGAGGAUGGUGGAAUUCCUAGUGUAGAGGUGAAAUUCGUAGAUAUUAGGAGGAACACCGGUGGCGAAGGCGACCAUCUGGGCCAAUACUGACGCUGAGGUGCGAAAGCGUGGGGAGCAAACAGGAUUAGAUACCCCCGUAGUC
rnacentral:rRNA from 1 species